AAGGUUCAUAAUUACAUAAUUAUAUGGCGAUUAUAUGAGCAACGUUUUUAAAUCCAACAUGCCGACUAUUAUGUAUAUCAAAUAUUUGAGUCGCACCAGCACAAGGGAAUAAUGUUGUAUCUUCGACAGAAAAAAGUCCAGCGCUAAUGUUACUUUAAUUACAUGUCCGGGAGCACGUUUCGUCCAUGGAAUACGAUCUGGGUAUAUUCGCUGAUGUCCGAGAACGGUAAGGUUAGGUAAGUAAGAAGGUAGGCAGACAGGUACUAUAGUGUAGCAGCUCGCGGGCAUUACGAGUAUGGUGAAUCGCUGUGGCAGCCGCCAUGCGGGAGAUUUAUCACUUUUUGUUGUUGGUGGCGUUUUAUUAGUGCACCGCCACGAUCAAAGCACAGGAUGAAUCUGCCUGGGGAAUGUCUGGAGGAAGAAAGAGUAUCGUAGAUUGAAGUUAUGGCAAGCAAAAACGUCGGAAGGAAAAAUAACCUUAAAAUUUGAAAAAGGAUAAGGUAAUGGAUUUUCUCGAGAACUGCGGACAAGUUCUGAAUUUAAUUACAACGCGGAAUGAUUAUUUCGACGUUUAGUAUCGUAAUGGAAAGGACAUAUUUGCAGAAGAUAACUGGAUUCACGUGCAUCAUUCGACUUUAUCGACAGCCGAUACUCUCGACUCCAAAGAAUUCGGACACGAUGGACCCUGACUUCCUCAUUAAUUUUCAAGCCCACUAAGAGUUGCUCCCAAGAUGCAGGAACUACAAGCACCGUAACCUCUUAACGUACCGAUCGGACAUAAUGAGUUUCAUUAAUCUCAGCGCGCAUAAUCAAGUCUAACGACUGGUGCUAUUAAUUAUUAUUACCCACGGGUGAAGGCUGUAAAUGAAAAAGCAAGUCCGUAAUAGGGUAUAAAAAUUGCUCCAGAAUGAUAAGAAAGAUAGUUGGUGGAUGUUUCAAAUUUUCCCGGCAACUCGCCGACCAAUUACGCUCUACUGUCGGCGAAACAAACAUGGCGGGUUCUGAAGGAACUUCACCGGAUUAUAAAGGAACAAACUGAACUCCACUCUCCUAGGCUGUAUGAUAGGUUAUUACAGUGACAGCUAUUAGGAGGUUCAUGAUCUUUCUUCUCACGUCAAUUACAAGAAUUAUAACCGUGCGUUAAAGCGGCUCUUGGCGUACAGUGAAAUGGACCAGUGUCGAGUGACCGAGAAAGGAUGAAAAAAAAGAUGUAAUUAAAGAUAAAUAAAAAGGAAGACCAUACGACGGCUUUCUUUAUGGCAGCCAAAGCUAAUUGACGUAAAGUGAGCCCACACGUCGGACAGAACACAAGCCCACAUGUUCAUUGUUCACAUGGGAGUCUUGCGACACGCCUUGUACCCUGUAUCCGGCCACUCGUUCCUGACUCUAUCUUCUCGUGAAAUGAGAAAUUGACGAUUUAACAUGAGAGAGUGCCGCUCGACUAUGUAUACCUAUAUGGUGAAGCACAACCAUGAAAACCGCGGUCGUUGUAAACCGUGUUUACGAUAGAGUUUGCGACUGCGUUCACACCUAAUACAGCCAGUGUGACGCGGUACUUUAAUCUUAUGUGCGGAUGGACCCUGAAAGACUUUUUUCUAUGUACUAAGUGCACCUUCAAACAUUCAGGAGGUACAGAGUGCGAACGAUUUGACGCGGUGUGGCGGUAUAAACAUGAAAGGGAUUUCAAGAGCCGCUAAUAAUAAAACGGUCACUCGCAGCCGGCCUCUUACAACUGCUUUUAUACCGGGUGUACCGAUUAUCAAGCAUCACCUCCGAGUCUAAUUGGACCGGCCUCUACUGCAAAGAGAAAUUAGGACGUGGAAGGGACUAUAUUAAUGCGUUUAUACCUGAACCUAGGGAAAAAAUUGCUAUAGAUCUUUUUUUUUCUUUUUCUUUUUCGAUGACUUUUUGGGAGUGGUUCAGUUUUUCGAGGGGUGGGAUUUUUUCGAAAUUUUACCUGCGAGACUUACGGAGAAUCGUCGUUCUGGGAAUUAGCUUUUACUCUGGUAUUUUAUUGUUAUUGGAAGAGGAAUACAUUUUUUUUGUUCUUAAUACGGAUUUCGAAAUUGCUCUGUCGCAAGGUGGCGUUGCGGUAUCCUAAAUGUUGUGCGGAUUCGCGAGUUUCUCGUCAGGACGAGACAGGCAGUUGGUGUGAAGGGGCGUACCCAGGGCCUGAAGCACUUCGUUCCAAGAACCAUCAUCUCCAUCUCCUGGGACUCACGGUCGCGGCUGCAACACGCCGCAGCCCAACAUCCUAUAAUACAGCAUUUUGAACAGGCACUGCGGCAGGCUCAGCCUGCGGGCCGCAUUUAGGGACUUUUUAGUUUUGUUGCGGAAAUUAGCUGCGCGCCAGCUAGCAUCAGGCCUCAGCGUCUUAAUCUGGCCACCUCUCUCUCCCAAAAAAACACGCGUCGAUUUUAUUUACGAUUAGUAUCGCAUGCUUUCACUCUUUUUUAAUUCACGUUGUUCUUUGAAAAUACUCAAGCGCAAUAUAAUAGUCUAAUAAAUUAGUUAUAUAUAAAUACACCAUGUAUUAUAUUUCAGUGCCAUUCCGCCUCAAAAUAAAUAACGUGAUUCACAUUAGCUGCGCAGGUUGUCUUGUGAACAACGAAUUGUAAUAUGAAUGCGAAGUUUAGAGCGAUUUGCUAAAAUUAGGAAUUAUACCUAUGAGACUAGGUAAUAAAAGCGACACGAUCAGCUUUACAGGUUUUGAUGUCUGACUGUUACGUGCUUUACUGAAAAUAA